rnacentral:rRNA from 1 species
UCUACGGGAUGCACCAGUGGGGAAUAUUGGGCAAUGGGGGAAACCCUGACCCAGCAACGCCGCGUGAAGGAAGAAGGCUUUCGGGUUGUAAACUUCUUUUACCAGGGACGAAGAAAGUGACGGUACCUGGAGAAAAAGCCACGGCUAACUACGUGCCAGCAGCCGCGGUAAUACGUAGGUGGCAAGCGUUGUCCGGAUUUACUGGGUGUAAAGGGCGUGUAGGCGGAGGAUCAAGUCAGAUGUGAAAUCUAGGGGCUCAACCCCUAAACUGCAUUUGAAACUGAUCCCCUUGAGUAUCGGAGAGGCAGGCGGAAUUCCUAGUGUAGCGGUGAAAUGCGUAGAUAUUAGGAGGAACACCAGUGGCGAAGGCGGCCUGCUGGACGACAACUGACGCUGAGGCGCGAAAGCGUGGGGAGCAAACAGGAUUAGAUACCCGUGUAGUC